ensembl:misc_RNA Y_RNA Y RNA
GGCUGGUCCGAAGGUGGUGAGUUAGCUCAGUUGAUUGGUCACAGUCAAUUAAAGAUCCAGUUCCUUGUUCUGCUCUUUCCCCCUUCUUACUAUUGUACUUGACUAGUCUAAA